rnacentral:rRNA from 1 species
CCUACGGGAGGCAGCAGUCGAGAAUCAUUCACAAUGGGGGAAACCCUGAUGGUGCGACGCCGCGUGGGGGAAUGAAGGUCUUCGGAUUGUAAACCCCUGUCAUGUGGGAGCAAAUUAAAAAGAUAGUACCACAAGAGGAAGAGACGGCUAACUCUGUGCCAGCAGCCGCGGUAAUACAGAGGUCUCAAGCGUUGUUCGGAAUCACGGGGCGUAAAGCGUGCGUAGGCUGUUUCGUAAGUCGUUGGUGAAAGGCGCGGGCCCAACCCGCGGACGGCACAUGAUACUGGGAGGCUAGAGUAAUGGAGGGGGAACCGGAAUUCUCGGUGUAGCAGUGAAAUGCGUAGAUAUCGGGAGGAACACUCGUGGCGAAGGCGGGUUCCUGGACAUUAACUGACGCUGAGGCACGAAGGCCAGGGGAGCGAAAGGGAUUAGAUACCCGAGUAGUC